rnacentral:rRNA from 1 species
GUGAGGAAUUUUGCGCAAUGGGGGCAACCCUGACGCAGCGACGCCGCGUGGAGGACGAAGUCUUUCGGGAUGUAAACUCCUGUCAGUGGGGACGAUAAUGACGGUACCCACAGAGGAAGCACCGGCUAACUCCGUGCCAGCAGCCGCGGUAAGACGGAGGGUGCAAGCGUUGUUCGGAAUUACUGGGCGUAAAGCGUAUGUAGGCGGCAAGUUAAGUUCAAUGUUAAAGCCCACGGCUCAACCGAGGAGAUGCAUUGAAUACUGGCUAGCUGGAGGGUGUUAGAGGAAGACGGAAUUCCCAGUGUAGCGGUGAAAUGCGUAGAGAUUGGGAGGAACAUCGGUAGCGAAAGCGGUCUUCUGGGACAUACCUGACGCUGAGGUACGAAAGCGUGGGGAGCAAACGGGAUUAGAUACCCCUGUAGUCC